UCCGCGCUGCAUUAGCUAGUUGGUAAGGUAACGGCUUACCAAGGCAACGAUGCAUAGCCGACCUGAGAGGGUGAUCGGCCACACUGGAACUGAGACACGGUCCAGACUCCUACGGGAGGCAGCAGUAGGGAAUCUUCCGCAAUGGGCGAAAGCCUGACGGAGCAACGCCGCGUGAGUGAUGAAGGUCUUCGGAUCGUAAAACUCUGUUAUUAGGGAAGAACAUAUGUGUAAGUAACUGUGCACAUCUUGACGGUACCUAAUCAGAAAGCCACGGCUAACUACGUGCCAGCAGCCGCGGUAAUACGUAGGUGGCAAGCGUUAUCCGGAAUUAUUGGGCGUAAAGCGCGCGUAGGCGGUUUUUUAAGUCUGAUGUGAAAGCCCACGGCUCAACCGUGGAGGGUCAUUGGAAACUGGAAAACUUGAGUGCAGAAGAGGAAAGUGGAAUUCCAUGUGUAGCGGUGAAAUGCGCAGAGAUAUGGAGGAACACCAGUGGCGAAGGCGACUUUCUGGUCUGUAACUGACGCUGAUGUGCGAAAGCGUGGGGAUCAAACAGGAUUAGAUACCCUGGUAGUCCACGCCGUAAACGAUGAGUGCUAAGUGUUAGGGGGUUUCCGCCCCUUAGUGCUGCAGCUAACGCAUUAAGCACUCCGCCUGGGGAGUACGACCGCAAGGUUGAAACUCAAAGGAAUUGACGGGGACCCGCACAAGCGGUGG
rnacentral:rRNA from 1 species